AACGAACGCUGGCGGCAUGCCUAACACAUGCAAGUCGAACGAGACCUUCGGGUCUAGUGGCGCACGGGUGCGUAACGCGUGGGAACCUGCCCUUAGGUUCGGAAUAACUCCCCGAAAGGGGUGCUAAUACCGGAUAAUGUCUUCGGACCAAAGAUUUAUCGCCUUUGGAUGGGCCCGCGUUGGAUUAGCUAGUUGGUAGGGUAAAAGCCUACCAAGGCGACGAUCCAUAGCUGGUCUGAGAGGAUGAUCAGCCACACUGGGACUGAGACACGGCCCAGACUCCUACGGGAGGCAGCAGUGGGGAAUAUUGGACAAUGGGCGAAAGCCUGAUCCAGCGAUGCCGCGUGAGUGAUGAAGGCCUUAGGGUUGUAAAGCUCUUUUACCCGGGAUGAUAAUGACAGUACCGGGAGAAUAAGCUCCGGCUAACUCCGUG
rnacentral:rRNA from 1 species